UACGAAGGGGGCUAGCGUUGCUCGGAAUCACUGGGCGGAAAGGGUGCGCAGGCGGCCAAGUGUGUCAGGUGUGAAAUCCCGAGGCUUAACCUCGGAACUGCGCCUGAAACUACUUGGCUAGAGUACUGGAGAGGGUAACGGAAUUCACGGUGUAGCAGUGAAAUGCGUAGAUAUCGUGAGGAACACCAGAGGCGAAGGCGGUUACCUGGACAGUUACUGACGCUCAGGCACGAAAGCGUGGGGAGCAAAAGGG
rnacentral:rRNA from 1 species